GGAGUGAGGUUGUGAUAAGUGUGUGCUCCAAUUCUGCAGCUUCGCAUGCAUAUCUUGUGCAGCUAGGACAGCGUGCAUUCCCGCAAUGCAUAGAGCGAUUACAUGCUGCACCAUGAUGACAGACAGUAACUAAGUCCUACCAAGCAAGUGCCAGGAUAGCUCAUCGAAUAACACACGACCACGCCCUUUCAAGUCCUUUCCAGUUCAUCAAACGUACAGUUUGACACUGGAUACCGACAGCAUCGUAAACCACAACAGAACCAAUCAAUUGUCUUACUGAAUGACGCAUCGAGGCCGGUGAUUAAGGCCAUCUAUCAGAACAAACUAUGUGCCUACCGCUCUUGAAUGGCACGCAGUGUUACCUGAU